rnacentral:lncRNA from 1 species
GAAAAGGAAGUGGUUAGUUCAAUGAUAUAUAAGCAAUUAAGGACAAAGAUUUAACUUGAAAUAUGAUAAUCAACAAUAAAGUAUCUUAGCAUGCUAGAUAAGCAUGAAAGUGUAGUCACAUAGAAAUAGGAGAUAAGUCAUAUGAGUCAAAGUAUGGAAUGAAAAUGCAUUAAAAUGUGAAAUGUAGCCUAAUCAUCUUGAGGUGAUUGUGGUGGAGGGAAUUGAGACAUAAUAUAAGCUAUAUGCCCCUCCAUCAAAGUCAUGAUAGCAUCUAAGCCUCUAAUGUCAUAUCUCAGGGAGCCAAUUGCUUCAAGUAUAGCUAGAGUGUCAACUGAGAAGUUUUGAUCUUGUAGUGGAGCAAACGCAGAAGGAGGAACUUGCUCUUGAGAUGGAACUGGAUCGAGAUUGUCACCAACAUCUUCAUUUUAAUCCUUAUAGAGUUCGAGUUGAGCACCCUUAACCCAUUGACCGGUGCGGGGAUCCUUCUUGUAGCUGACAUGCCUAAGGGCACCAAAACUUAGAGGUGUAAGUGUGGCCAAAGGAGGGUCGCAUCUAGUAGGGAUUUUGAGGUAUUUGCAGAUGUACGACAGGUAGGUUAAAAAAGGUAAGGUUAUAGAGCUACUAAGCUCUUUGCCAAUGACCUUAUUGAUAUAAUUAAGUAUAAUCAAGGCAAGGUCAGGUUGCCUAUUAGUUUGAAAACUUUCAAUCCACGAAUAAUCAUUGGAUCAAAUUAUAACAUGUUUUGAAAUCGGGCGCAAAAUUCAUGUAUGAACCAAAUGAAGAAAACAAUCAUGGACAUUGAGCUCGGAAGUAUUAGAGCUCGGAAUAACUAAGGCCAGGUUAGAAGGGCUUUUUUUAUUUGUCUUACCACCGGGUGGUAAUUUUAAAAAAUCACCAAAAAUUUCUAAGGUGAGAUGAAUUGAAGUGUUCAAAAUAAAAAAAUUUAUCACAACAACUGUCUCACCCGACGAGUCAUGUUCGAGCAAGGAAUUUGAAUAAAAUGCUAGAAAAAGAUUGCCAUUGGUGUUAGAGCCAAUUUUGAAAAAAUUGAUCCAAUUCUAAUCAUUUAAAGUUUGAAGAUAUGCAAAGUUAAAACUAGUUAAAAGUUCGAGAUCAAGAGGACGAGAAACAUUGAUCUUUCGGGAAGAAAAAUAUGUAUUUAAACGAGCUCCCUCUAUGGGAGUUCAAAACAUUCAUCUCGGGCUAGAGGGAUUAGAGAAUGAGGUUUCAACAUGAGAACGUUUCUUAAGAGGCAUGAUUACAAACUAUAAUCCUAAAACACACUAAAUAACCUAUAAAGUUUGUUUGGGAAUUUUGUUGAACACUUAGUAGGCAAAAGUUUUUAAAAAACAAUUUCAAGAAAAUUUUAGGUUUAAGCAACCUCCUACAACAAAAACAUAAUGUAUAGGUUUCAAAUAAUCCUAAAUAACAAGAUUCAACCAAGAUUUUAUCGUAAUCAAAUCAAAAUUUUUGAAAUCAAAGAUAGUAAAAUUUUUACCUUAGAAUGAUUUUGAAAGGAUGAAAAACCAAAGCAAAACUUGUUGAAUCCUUAGUGAGAUGGAAAUGUAGGGUGUUUUGAUAGAAGAUUUUGAAGAAUGGAUGAUGAAAUAUUUUGAGAAUUUUGAAAGUUAGGUUUUGAGAGUUUUUUUUUUGUGGAGAGAAUUUUUUUUUGAAAAGUUUUGCCCAAAUGUGUUUUUAAAACACAAUGCAGGUUAUUUUAAAUUCUUGAUGGUAUCAAUACUUUUAGUGAAGUACUGAUACUUUUCCCUAACUAUCGAUAAUUUUGUUAAAGUAUCGAUACUAAAGUGUCUAGUUGUGUUCCAAAGUGCAAAAAACUUCCCAGAGCUUAAUUUUAAGUCCUAAAAUGCAUUUAACUGACUUAAAAUGUCAUUUUAAAUUCGCAAUCUGAUGCAUUUUUAAUAUUUUAACAAUCAGUUUUAAGCCUCAUUUAUCUAAUUAUUU